UAGAGUUUGAUCAUGGCUCAGAUUGAACGCUGCGGCAGGCCUUAACACAUGCAAGUCGAACGGUAACAUUUCUAGCUUGCUAGAAGAUGACGAGUGGCGGACGGGUGAGUAAUGCUUGGGAACUUGCCUUUGCGAGGGGGAUAACAGUUGGAAACGACUGCUAAUACCGCAUAAUGUCUUCGGACCAAACGGGGCUUCGGCUCCGGCGCAAAGAGAGGCCCAAGUGAGAUUAGCUAGUUGGUAAGGUAACGGCUUACCAAGGCGACGAUCUCUAGCUGUUCUGAGAGGAAGAUCAGCCACACUGGGACUGAGACACGGCCCAGACUCCUACGGGAGGCAGCAGUGGGGAAUAUUGCACAAUGGGGGAAACCCUGAUGCAGCCAUGCCGCGUGUGUGAAGAAGGCCUUCGGGUUGUAAAGCACUUUCAGUUGUGAGGAAAAGUUAGUAGUUAAUACCUGCUAGC
rnacentral:rRNA from 1 species